GUGGCGAACGGGUGAGUAACACGUGGGCAAUCUGCCCUGCACUCUGGGACAAGCCCUGGAAACGGGGUCUAAUACCGGAUAUGAUCACCGGCCGCAUGGUCUGGUGGUGGAAAGCUCCGGCGGUGCAGGAUGAGCCCGCGGCCUAUCAGCUUGUUGGUGGGGUGAUGGCCUACCAAGGCGACGACGGGUAGCCGGCCUGAGAGGGCGACCGGCCACACUGGGACUGAGACACGGCCCAGACUCCUACGGGAGGCAGCAGUGGGGAAUAUUGCACAAUGGGCGAAAGCCUGAUGCAGCGACGCCGCGUGAGGGAUGACGGCCUUCGGGUUGUAAACCUCUUUCAGCAGGGAAGAAGCGUGAGUGACGGUACCUGCAGAAGAAGCACCGGCUAACUACGUGCCAGCAGCCGCGGUAAUACGUAGGGUGCGAGCGUUGUCCGGAAUUAUUGGGCGUAAAGAGCUCGUAGGCGGCUUGUCGCGUCGGAUGUGAAAGCCCGGGGCUUAACCCCGGGUCUGCAUUCGAUACGGGCAGGCUAGAGUUCGGUAGGGGAGAUCGGAAUUCCUGGUGUAGCGGUGAAAU
rnacentral:rRNA from 1 species